rnacentral:lncRNA from 1 species
GAGAACUUGAUUAAUGAGGAUCAAUGGAUGAUCUGGGUGGCUAAAAUGUUCAACCUCCAUGUCUCUGUCUCUCUCAGAAGACAGAGCAGGAAAUGAGGGUUGUUGAGCCAGGGCAAGACUUAGGUAGGCCACAUUGAAGCUGCCGAAUAUAUAUGUUAUUGAAAUGGAGAGGCAAAUAAAAGUUGAGUGCUCCUAUUAUUUAAUAACUCACCUUCUGAACUGAAACUCGACCUCUUCACCGACGGCUAAUUAAAUAAUUACAGCUGCUUGCUGCUAAAUUACAGAUCAACCAACGAGAUCCAGAACACAGUGAUUUCCCAUUAAGAUCGGAUAGCAGAAUUCAAAGAAGCCCGAAAAGGAAGGAAGGGUGUUAUCUGUAAGGAUGGGGUGGGAGGAAGAUCAUGAGGAUAGCUACAGGCUCUUCCAUUUGUGCAGAUGAUAUUAUACAAGCAUGUGAAUAAGAAGACACUUUCCCUUUUCUUUUCUUGUUGGAGUGGAAGACUCGUUGACUUGAGGUGGGUCUCGUCAACUUCUUGUUACAGGAUCAUGUCCAUUGCUUAGUAUUCUAUUGGAUUGGUCCAUUGCUUAGUUAAUGGAUCGUGUCCAUAUAAUAAGUUAUUAAUGAAAUAAAAAAUAGUAUUAGAAAGUAUUACUACUUGGAUUUGAAGGUGGGUUGUUAUCAAGCAAAACCAAUCAUCGGCCUGAAAACAUUGAACGCGCAUGAGACCUGACGUAUGUGAGAGAUGACAGCAAAUAAAUCGCAAAUAGAAUGUUGCGGUUAAAUUAAUUUUUUUAAAAUAAAAAAAUAUUCAGAUAUUAUUAAUAAACUACUAAAUAAUAGUAGCAUUCCUUUAAAUAUUAGUAAAAAUCUAGGUAAAAUAAAUCCUUCUUUUUAAAAAAUAACUAAAUCUUAACUAUCACCAUAAUAUAUUAUGUAAAUAAACUACUAAAAGAAAAAUCAUGAUUAUAUGAAAGCCAUUAUGAUUUUAGCUCCUGCAUUAUUUUUCUCGAAAUAAAAACAACUCAGAUUUUUAGUUGAAAUCGUUCUUGUCUCGAUUAUAAGGACAUGUCACAGAAGAUCAUUUAUCUUGGAAUUAAAUUAUAUAAUUAGAGAUAUAAAAAAAAAUUGAAAACACAUUCUCUUAUAUAUCACAUUUCAUCAUGUUCAUUAACUACAAACAAUUAAAUUCAGAUUAAAUAGAUAUAAUUUAUACAUGUAUAUAAAAAUAACAACUUAACUAUUAAUUAUUUUUUUCUCUCGUCUAAUUUAAACUAUAAAUUCAAAAACUAAUGUUAACCAUUUCUCCUUAAAAAGCCCUCGACCUUAAAGUCUCCAUUGCCAUUCCUAUUUGGUUUUCUAGAUUUUAUAAUGAAGAGAGAGAUUGGGAAAGGAAGAAGAUAAUGUGUGUAUUGCCUUUCAGAAUUAAUUACAGGUUUUUCAUAUCACAUUUUUCAUGCUUAUCACCCACAAAUUAUUAAAUUAAAGUAAAAAUGACAUCAAUUAUAUAUAAUAAAAGUAAAAAUUUAACUAUUUAUUGUUUAAAACAUGUCAAGUCAAAUUUAUAGUAUUAUAAAUCAUAAGGUAAUCAUUGAAUACAUAUCGAAAAAAAAUGCAGGAUAAACUAAAAAUAAUAAUUGUUUGUUAAAAAAUAAUGGUUGUCAAAAUUAAAAAGACAACUAUAACCUUAGUCAAACUAAAACUAAAAUUUUAAUGUUAUUUAAAAAAAACACCUUUUAACAUAUUUUGUUUUAAUUUAAGAAAUUAAUAAAGAAAUAUAUAUAAUAUAUAUUUAGUUAUCUAAUUCUACAUCAAAUAGACUUAAAAGAAAAAAAAUGGCAAAAAAUAGUUAAGCACAUGAUCCAGGAGGCCCAACACGCCAAUCAACACAUGCUAACAUGUUUCGACUUCAUUUCUUAUUUUUAUUAUCAUUAUUAUUAUUUAAAUGGGAGGACUUUUUAAAAUAACCAUCCGAUAUGUUUUUUGUUGUGACAAAUUAAAAACACAUUAUCUAUUUGUUUUACCGUCAAGAAACUCUAGAGGCUGGAAGUCACCUGAAAAUUGCUCUUAGAAACACAAAACACCAUUUCAAUCAUUUUUUUCAUUUAAAAACACUUAGAAAUACAACGUAAACAUAACCUCUAAAUAAUGUUUAAUCGAUUAAAAAACUUAAAAUUUGUUCUGGUUAAAAAAAAAAUCCCCAAAAAAUCUACUUUUAUAGUAAAAUGAAGGGCAAUAUACAUCAAUAGAAUUCUUAUCUUGAAAUGGUAUUAUUAAUAUUAAAAAUAAUUUUUUUUGGUUGUUUUUUAAAAUAUUUUUUUCUUAAAUUAAUUAUAUUAGUAAAAGUUGAAUUGAGAAAAAAAAAACCGAAAAAUUUAAUGAGAAAAGGAAACAAACACUUUGCGAAUCCAAAACAAAUCCUCUCACAAGCCAUAUAGUGAUUAACAUAUGACUUUUAGUUUUUUGUAUAAUUUUGUAGUUAUUUAUAAAAUGUCUUAGAUAUAUAAUUAUUAAUGGAGUCGGGAUUAUGUUUUUGUUCUCUACAAAUCAAGAAAUUUGAUAUAUACAGUACUUAGAACAAAAAAGAAGGGUUACUGAUAAGUUAAUAUCUUUACAGCAGAAAAUCAAGUUAAAUAGUAUUACAUAAUAAUGUAUUUAAUUUAUUUUUCUUUGUGUAUGUGUCACACAUUACUGCUUUGUUUUUGUAGGUUUUGUGUUCGUGCCUCGAGGAGUAGGCAAAACUCGUGAUUGAAAUGACCACUGUUCAACAAAUGAGGUUAAAUAGUUGCACUUCUUAUUCAAACUUACUUGCUGGUCUGUUUUUACAAUUUUGAAAAAAUAAUUGAAAAAAAUUAAAUUUUUAUUUUAUAUUUUUUCUUUAAAUUAUUAUUUUUUUAUUUUUUAAAAUUUUUUAUGUACUAUUAUUAAAAAUAAAUUAAAAAAAAUACUAUUUCAAUAUAUUUUUAAAUAAAAAAUACUUUAAAAUUAAUUAUAAAAAAAAACUCUUAUUCUAUAUGUGAUUUGGCUGUGUUUCAAUCAGUUGAAAUUCGAAACAGUAGCUUCAUGAUGUUUAUCUCGAGCAGAAAAAUAAGUCUUUCCUUUGGUAAAUCUAUUUCUUGGUUAUCUCUGCAAAACUAAGUAAUUUUUUUUUCUAUAGAAAUGUUUUCAUAUUAUGAUUUGAGUUGUGAAUUUAAAAGGAUAAUUCAAGUUAUUUUUUUAAUUUUAUUAUUUAAUAUUAAGUUAAUUAAAAAUUAUAUUUUAUAAUUUUGUUUUAAUUUGUUUUCUAUGAGAUAAUCAUUGUCUCAUACUCAGGUCAUGAAUUUGACAUGUUAACUUACGUUGACCCGAGUCAAUCCAAUAAAUUGUUUUUUUAAUAUUAACAAUUUAUUGGAUUGACUCGGGUAAGAUAUUAUAUUAACCUGAAUUUGAUGUAAGAUAUUAUAUUAAUUUUUUUAGUUAAAUUAUAUUUUUACUAAAAACCUGCUAAAUAAAUCAGGUCACAUCAAAUCAACUCUUACAUUACUUAUUUUUUUAUUAGAAAAAACAUUAAUAAUAUUUGAAUAUUUUUUAUGUUAAAAUAAAUUUAGAUACAAUUAGCGCUACCAAUAAUUUAGUUUCCACUAAUAACAUUUUUUUUAUAUCGUAGUAUAAGUUGUUUUUCAAAAUAGCUUUUCGUGCUGAAAAGCAUGCCAAUAAUGUUUUAGGGUGUUUGGGAGUGUGGUAGCGGUUGCUUUUCAAAUAGUUUUUCGUGCCGAAAAGCAUGCCAAUAAUGUUUUUUUAUUUUUAAAAAAUUAUUUUUCAUAGCAGCACAUCAAAACGAUCCAAAAAGUACAAACCACACUUAAUUUUAGCAAAAAUAUUUUUUUUGAAAAUUUGCAAAAAGCAGAUUGCACCGCAGUGCUAAACGGCACCCAAGUUAAACAGUAUUACCUGAAACAUUUUGAUAUAUUAAUGUCUUUGUCCUUGGCGCAGCUUGACUUGCUAAUUUUAGGGUGUUCAACCCGAUAUUUUAAUUUUAUCAAGUAAUUUAAAUUAUUAUAAAUCUUAAUUUUAUUUUUUUUUUAAUUUUUUUUAUAUAAUUUCAACUUGAUAUGUAUUAAUGGAACGUGAUUGUAAUGCUAGAUGUUUGUAUGAAAAUAAUGGUUCGUGCCUUAUAACUAUAUGUUGAUUUGAGAAAAAAAAUGAAAAUAUGGUCAUAAGGCUGAUAACAUUCGCUUGUGAGGAUACAAAUUUAGCAUGAGGAAAAAAGUAAAUUUGAGUUACAUGGUUUUGAUUUCUCACAGUUGUGUCAGGAUAAUGUAAGUUUUCUUGUAAAAGUUUUUGGCCAUUUGAUUAUGCUAUUACAACAAACACAUGAACACUCUAGCCUUUAUUACAUUUCAAAAAGAAGGAAAGAAAGAAAACAAAGAAAAGACCCCCUUAUAAACUAGUCAUCAGUCUACAGAAGUUUUAGCUACUGGUUUGUUUUCUUGAUGGCUGUGUUUUAAAAAAAUUGAUUUUUAAAUUUUUUUAAAAAAAUUUUUAAACUAUUUUGAUGUACUAAUAUAAAAAAAAAUUUUAAAAAUAAAAAUAUUAUUUUUAUACGUUUACAAGAAAAAAAAUUUAAAAAACAAUAAAUAAUAAUAAUAAAAAAAAACAGAAGGCAAACUACUUUAUUACAUUUUUGCAUAUCAAUGAAAUCCAGCGGUACUAGUGGCAUCCCUUUUAUAUUGGAGAUGGUGAAUGCCAAUAUUCCACUCGUUAAAGCUGCAACAAAUUAUACAACAUAUUAAAAGGAACCAAUAUUUCUAUUAUUAUUUAUCUAUAUAUAAAGUACUGUAAUUAAUGUUAUUUAAAAAACACCUUUAAUAUAUUUUGUAUUCAUUUAAGAAAUUAAUAAAGAAAUAUAUAUAACAUAUAUUUAGUUAUCUAAUUUUACAUUAAAUUAUAUGUUAAAAAACACUUUUCAAAAAAAAAAAAAAAACAACUAUAACCUUAUUCGAACUAAAACUAAAAUUUUAAUGUUAUUUAAAAAACACCUUUAAUGUAUUUGGUAUUAAUUUAAGAAAUUAAUAAAUAUACACACACAUAUAGAGUUAACUAAUUCUACAUUAAAUAGACUUAAAAGGAAAAAUAAAUGCAAAAAAAUGAUCGAGCACAUGGAUCAAGGAGGCCUAGCACCCCCGUCAACAGGCUCAUACAUUUGGGCUUGAUUUUUAUUAUUAUUAUUUAGAUGAGAGCAAGGUUGUUAAAAUCGCGAUUUUAGAACGAAACGGAAAGCCCUUCACAAAAUCGGAUCGUAAAAUCGUAAAAUCGUAAGGAAUUUUGAAAUACAUUAAAAAAAAUUCAUGUUUCAAAUAAAAAUUCAUACAUAAUUCAAGCCUUCAAAUAAAAAUUUAUAUAUAGUUCAAGCAUCUUAAAAUACAGGAUUCAAAUAAAAGUCAUAUAUAAUAUAAAAUAACUUUUCAUUAACUAAUAAUCAACAAACUUAAAACAAACAAUCUGCUGGUGUGUAAUGUAAACUAAAACUAGCUUCAUUCCCUUCAUCUUACUCAUCAUUCCUUAAGCAUUCAUCACAAUAAAAAAAAUAUAUUGAUAUAAAAAAUAAAAAAAAUAUAAAUUCAGCAUUAUUAUAGUAUACAUAUUUAAAUAAAUAUUAAUUUUUAAAAGCAGCAUACACCACAAUAAUAUAUAUACACUACAUGUUACUUCAUUUAUAAGUCCGCAAAACAAUUAGUUACAUGUUAGAAAAAAUAAUUUGAUAUUAUUAUAUGAAAAUAAAAAAAACAUUAAAAAAUAAUUUAAAAUAAAAAUAAUAUUUUUUUAUAAAAACAUUUUCUAACCAAGAAAAAAAGCCUCUUAAAAAAAAUACUUUACUUGUACAAACAUACGAAAAUGAAUCCCACCUACUGAAAACCUAAAAAGAGAAAUCAAUCACAAAAAUCAAGGCUAAUUUGGGGGGGGGGAGCAAAUGAACAAUUAUAAUAUUGGGGGGAGGGGGUGCGGGAGCAAUUAUAUUGGGGGGGGGUCAAUUAUAAUAUUGGGAGGGGGGCAAUUAUAUUGGGGGAGUGGGGCCUUCAGAAAUUAUGUUGAAAUCGUAAAAUCGGUCCUGAUAUCGCGAUUUUACGCGAUAUCAUCCGAUUUUUACGAUUUUAUCCUAUUUCAAUCCGAUUUUACCCAUUUUUGAUUUUUUCAAUCGAUUCAACUCGUAAUGCAUGUUUUGACUCGUAAAAUGUACGAUUUUACGAGUCAAAACACGAUUUUGACAACCUUGGAUGAGAGGACUUUUUAAAGUAACUAAACGAUACGUCUUUUGUAGUGGCAAAAAACACGUCACCUAUUUAUUUCAUUGCCGAGAAACUCUAAAGGUUGGAUGUCGCUGGAAAAUUGCUUCCCACUCUUUUGACACAAAACAUCAUUUCAAGCAUUUCUUUCAUUUAAAAACCACUUAGAAACACCCAGCAAACAUAACCUCGAAACAAGUUUUAAAGUAAAAUACUCAAAAUUUAUUCCGGUUCAAAACAAAUUCCCAAAGGAUCUAUUUUUGAAGCAAAAAAUACAUCAAUAGAAUUCUUAUCUUGAAAUGGAACCCCCAUUAGCUUCAAGAACAAUUUGUUUCUGUUGCUAAAUUAUGGUUAACAAGACUGAAAUGUAAAUAAAAUAAAAUCAUGGACCAAAUAGUAUAAUUUUCAAGUUAAAGGGACCAAAACUAAUAUUGAACUAAAUUUUAAGUUUAAAAGGCUGUCAUGACCCAAUUUUUUUUUUUAUUAUUUUAUUUUAUUUAUCAAAAAUGAUAAUAAAAUAAAUGAAUGAUGCAACGAAAUAAAAAAAUGAUGAUUAAAAAGAAACAAAUAAAAAUAAAAUGAAUUAAGAAUGCAUUAAAUUUGGGUUAAAAUCAAAAUCAUACUCAUAUAUGCUAUUCUUACAAGCAACGUACAAACUGAAAGUUGUGUUUAUUUCACUUUAAAAAAGGUGCUCUCAAAUAAGGAAAACCUUUCAAUAUAAUAAUCACCCAUAUGCCAUUGAAAUAGAGAUUAAGGAUUUUCUUGGAAAAGAGAUUGCUCUGUCAAAGAAGGGGAUCGUUAUAUCCCAACAGCAGAUGUUCUUAAGGAGACUGGGAUGAGUGGCUGUAGGCUAGCAGACACUCCACUAGGUCCCCAUCACAAACUUGAAGAUGACAAGGAAGGUGAUUCAGUGUGAUUACAACACAUUAUCAAAAAUUGAUGGGAGAGCUGAUUUACUUAUCAAAUAUAUGAUCUAAUAUUGCAUUUGUUGUGAGUUUAGUAAGCUAGUUUAUGCGAUCACACCACGCAAAACAUCUUGAAGCAGUUUAUAUCGGAUUCUCAUAUACUUGAAAAGCACACCAGACAAGCGCAGAUAAUAAAAGCAUACACUGAUGCAGAUUGGGUGGGUUCAGUCAUUGAUAGAAGAUCAACAUUAGAAUACUGUACCUAAGUUUGAGGAAAUAUAGUCACAUGGCAAAGUAAGAAACAAAAUGUGGUUGCAAGAAGCAGUGCUGAGGUAGAAUAUAAGAAGAGAAUUCUUGAAGAAACUGUGAAUGCCUGUGAUUAUGUCAACAUUAACCAAGCUCCCGUUUCUUGUUUUUCUAGCCUAGGGAUCCAAUCUUUAUUUUGAUUUCCUAAUUUGUGGCCUUUCUAAUGUGGUGAUCUCCUCUACUAUUUUAUCUUGUAACCAUAUCUAUUGAAUGAAUAAGAAAUAAGAUUCUUCUUCUUCUUCCAAUAACCUACACACACAACACAGUAAUAGAAGAAGAAGAAGAAGAAUUCAUGGAUUCGUGCAUCGGUGAGUCUGAAAGUCAUGUGUAAACGCCCAUUACCUUCAUAUGUGGGUAUUUCCUAAGAGCACAUUCUGAAUGAGCAUCAAAGUCAUAUUUCUCAAACGGUAGAACCAGAGCUUUAUGAUUUUCACAAAUUUGACAGACAAAUUGGUAGUCAUUUGGAUCAUUACAGGUGAGGAAGAGAGGAUGGUCAUCGUACAUGUGUCUAGCUUUACAUGGCAGAGCAGCCCAUCUAUUACAUGUUGUAUUUAUUUUAAAAUAUAUUAAAAUAAUAUAUAUUUUUUAUUAUUUUAAAAUUAUUUUUAAUAUUACUAUAUCAAUCGAUUUGAAAAUAUAUAUAAAAAAAUAAUUUAAAAUAAAAAAAUAAAAAUAAAAAUAAUUUUAAAAAUUAUUUUUAAAACAUAAAAAUAUAUAAGCUUUUAAUACCAAAAAGACUAAGAAUAUUGCUAGUAGUAUGCAAAGGUUGGAGAUUUUUAAUUAAAUAUCUAUGAAAUUAAAGCGAAAAUAAUUUGAUAACAAUUUUAAUUCGAGACAAGAUAAGAUUGAUAUAUAUGAUAUAUAUAUUUUUUAAAUAAACAGUCUGGGUAUAAUUUUUUUUUUUAUCUCAAUCCAACUCAAAUUUUAUUAGUCAUUUAAAAUCAGUAAGACUUUCAAAUAAAACCACAAAAACUAUCUAGACCUGUACUAUUUUAUUAGUUGAUAUAGAAUUUUUUUCCUAUUUAUUUAAAAAAAAUUAUUUUUUUGAGGAUUUUUUAAUAUAUAAACACUAUAAUAUUAUAUUUUAAUUAGAUAAUUAUGAUUUUUAUGUUGUAAUUUUACUUAACUCUAAUUUUAUGUGUACGUUUUGAUGUAGAAAUUAUAAACUGUCUCGCCGAAAAAUCAUCUUGUCUAACCAAAUAAUCGAAAGGGGAUAUGGGCUUCUAAAUCCCUUCUUAAGAAGAUCAAGGCUUAUUCUUAUUCUUCUUAAAAAAAAUACCAAAAACAUGAAUUAAUACUCUUCAUUAUAUAUCUUAAAGGAAAAGGCUAUCGGAUGCCCUUGAGGUGUUCGUUUUAAAUAUUAUUUAAAUACAUUUAUUUAUAAAAUAUCAGUUAGAUAAGUGUUAUUUUAUAUGACAAUAUUUAUAUGCAUUUACAAUAAAAUCUUUAACAAAAAUGUAAAGGCAGAAUUUAUGGAGAGCUUCCUGCUAAGCAAAAAAAAAAUAAAAAUGGUGGAAGGUAACACAUCUUCGUCACUUACGAAGGGACAAAGAAACAACAAACUACAUUGACAGUUUUAAUGAAAUAGCAUCUUUUAUUGUUCAGAAAAAAAAAAGAGAAAAAAAAAGUGAUCUGAUAUGCGAAAAUAGAAACAGAGAUAAUAAGUAUGAAGCUAACCAUUCACCCCAACAAUCAUAACCCAAAAAUAAGAAAAAAGCCAACAACUACAAUCCAAUUACCGUUUUAAUGAGUUAAAGCAUCGCCAUCUUUCCCAGUGGACGAUAAAACUGCAGUUAGUAUCAGUACAUUCAAGGGCCAAGUCAUCGCAAGGCUCACCGCAACAAUCGCAUGCCUGCGGACGAUAAUCCCCUGUCUUGUCGACCAAAGCAAGAGGGUGAGGGUGAUUAGGAUAUGUUAGAACCCCCCCUCGCUUGAAAUAUGGGUAUUUCCCGAGAGCACAUUCAGGAUGAGCAUCGAAGUCGCAUUGCUCACAACGGUAGAACCAGAGCUUCGGGUCUCUAUCUUUUUCACAAAUUAAGCAGGAAGGCUGGUAGUCAUUUUCAUUAAUGUAGGUGAGGAAGAGAGGAUGGUCAUCAUACUCGUGUCUUGCUUUGUAUGGCAGUGUAGCACAUUUCAUACCCAGCUUGAAAUCGCAAACCGCACAUUUAAAAAAUACCUUUGAUUCUUCACUGACACAACAGCCACUGCAAUGGGGAAUAAUCUCUCCGUCCGCUGCAAGCAAAGGGGGAAUCCCGCGACCUCCAAUAUUGCAACGGAGAAUAUUCUUUCUGCCCGCUGGAAGAUAAAGGGGAUGCUCAUGACCUCCAUGUUUAGUGGAAUCUUUCAAUGAUUUGAAGCAUCGGACAUCAAUGCAGAGUCGACAUACAUCACAUAUGUACCUGAGCCCACUAAAAAGUUGACGACACACAUCACAGUAGCACAGAUCAUGUGCCCCUUGGAUCCAUGAAAGAAUCAGUUGGUUUUCGUGAUAUUGCCACUUUUUUUACCUGGAUAAUUCUAUGCAGGUUUUGUCGAGAAAGAAAUUACAACUUGCACAACUAUAAAAUGGAGUUGAGAUUGGUAACAGGCACCCAUCACACUUUAAAUCAUCAUCAACCUUGUCAAUAAGGAUUAGGUUAUGUUGAUGACUGAAAUGGUCGAUCUCUUCAAUUAUUCUCUCCUCUCCAUGCUUGAUUUCACGGACAACGCGAAAGCUAGGUUCCAUGAAUUGAUCAUCAGCGGUCACACUUUGCUCUUCUUCGUUUUCUUCUACAAUCUCUGUUGCAGAAUCGCCAUAUUCUCUACUACAAUUCACGUGUGCAACGAAGUCACAGUCUGGGCAAUAGUAAACUCCGUAUUCUGUGUCAACUUCCCGACAGCAAAUUCCACAGUACUUCUUUAUAGAUUUGAUACAUUGUUGAGGAUGAUAGGUGUGGAUGAUUUGGGGAUGAUGGUGCAGUGCCGUUUUAAGGGUGCGUGGCAAUGAAAUGCAUUUUCGUGGACCAGAGUUGGCACAUAGUGCAAAAUGGGAGUCAUCUCCAUCUGUGCCACAUGCAUUGCAAGUGAAGGAGAUUGAUUUUAAUGAGAGUGGAUUCAGUAGGCGUCUAAAUUGAUGCCUUUGAUCUGAUCAGCUGCAUAAAUGCACGGUGGAAAAGCACAUUUGAUAUGGAGGUUGAAUUCGCACACAAAAAAAGUAAACAAAACUCUCAUAGCAAGUUUCGUUGCAAAAAUCACAGAUCAUAUCAUGAUUUGGCAGUAGACAAAGAGGGUGUUCUGGAUGCAAAUGCUGCUUGAUCUCUGGGGGUAGCUCAGCACACUUCUUGUGAAGAAAGGAGUUGCAAGAAGUGCAACUAUAGCUAGGACCCGACAUUGGUUCCUUGCAAACAGAGCACUUAACUCCUUCACCAUAAUAUUCUUUCUCUCCAUUCAAAAUCAAUGGAUGAUCCUUGUGGGCAAAUUGAUGUGCCGGACUAUCAACUUCCAAAAAACCCGGUUGAAAAGCACAUUUGAUAUCAAGAUCAAAUUUACACAAAGAACAAUGGUAAACAAAACUGUUGCAAGUUUUGUCGCACCGAUUACAAACGCAUUUGACAUUAUAUUGUCGAUACGGUGGCUUUGGCAGUAGAUGUAAAGGGUGUCUACGAUGAAUGCGCCGCUUGAUCUCACGGGGCAGCUCGGCGCAUUUCUUAUGAAGAAAGAAGUAGCAAGAGGUGCAACUGUAGCAAGGACCCCAUAUUGGUCCCUCGCAUCCAGAGCAAAUAACUAGUUCACAACUAUACUCGAGAACUUGAUUAAUGAGGAUCAAUGGAUGAUCUGGGUGGCUAAAAUGUUCAACCUCCAUGUCUCUGGCUCUCUCAGAGGACAGAGCAGGAAAUGAGGGUUGUUGAGCCAAGGCAAGACUUAGGUAGGCCAGAUUGAAGCUGCCGAAUAUAUAUGUUAUCGAAAUGGAAAGGCAAAUAAAAGUUGAGUGCUACUAGAAUUCAAUACCUCACCUUCUGAACUGAAACUUGACCUCUUCACCGACGACGGCUAAUUAAAUAAUUACAGCUGCUUACUGCUACAUUACAGAUCAACCAACAAGAUCCAGAACACUGUGAUUUCCCAUUAAGAUCGGAUAUCAAUCAAUUGCUGGGGAAGCGUUUUCUUCCUUCUUCCCAUUUAUCAAAGAUAGCCGAAACGAAAAAUAAUUCAAAGGACUUAAAAUUCAAAGAGGCCCAAAAAGAAAGGAAGGGUGUUAGCUGUAAGGAAGAGGUGGGAAGAAGAUCAUGAGGAAAUCUACAAGCUCCUCUAUUCGUACGGAUGAUAUUGUUCAAGCAU